rnacentral:rRNA from 1 species
AUAUCACGAGCCCCGCGAGGGACGGCGCCGCCCCGGGGCUCGUGAUAUCUCAUCUCGCCGCCCGUCGCGAGGCGGACGGAGGGAUGGAUGAGGUUACCUGGAAAAAAUCGGGGCGAUCUAGGCGGGCGAACCUCGCCAACGAACGAUCGGACAUGGGAUAACGGAAGAGGGCGUCGGCUCGACUUCGUCGGUUCCUCGGGCCGAGGCACGUACGGUGAAUAGGGACGGUCGGGGCCGCCCGUACCGGGUCGUGAGAGGUGAAAUUCUAGGAUCGACCCGAGACGAACCGCCGCGAAAGCAUUCGGCAAGGACGCUUUCAUUAAUCAAGAACGAAAGUCGGGGGAUCGAAGACGAUCAGAUACCGUCGUAGUCCCGACCGUAAACGAUGCCGACCGAGGGCCCGGAGGAGUUACGUACGACCCUCCGGGCCCUCCCGCGAGAAAUCAGGAGUAUUC